GGACCCGUGGUGUAGUGGCCUAACAUACUGCCCUGUCAAGGCAGAGAUCGCCGGUUCGAAUCCGGUCGGGUCCGCCA
rnacentral:tRNA from 1 species